AUUGAACGCUGGCGGAAUGCUUUACGCAUGCAAGUCGAACGGUAGAGGGGCAACCCUUGAGAGUGGCGAACGGGUGAGUAAUGUAUCGGAACAUGCCCAGUCGUGGGGGAUAACGUAGCGAAAGUUACGCUAAUACCGCAUACGAUCUAUGGCUGAAAGCGGGGGAUCGCAAGACCUCGCGCGAUUGGAGUGGCCGAUAUCAGAUUAGGUAGUUGGUGGGGUAAAGGCCUACCAAGCCGACGAUCUGUAGCUGGUCUGAGAGGACGACCAGCCACACUGGGACUGAGACACGGCCCAGACUCCUACGGGAGGCAGCAGUGGGGAAUUUUGGACAAUGGGCGAAAGCCUGAUCCAGCCAUUCCGCGUGAGUGAAGAAGGCCUUCGGGUUGUAAAGCUCUUUCGGCAGGAACGAAACGGCGGACUCUAAUAUAGCCUGCUAAUGACGGUACCUGAAGAAGAAGCACCGGCUAACUACGUGCCAGCCGCCGCGGUAAAAC
rnacentral:rRNA from 1 species